rnacentral:rRNA from 1 species
UACGUAGGGGGCAAGCGUUGUCCGGAAUCAUUGGGCGUAAAGAGCGCGUAGGCGGCCCUGUAAGUCCGCUGUGAAAGUCAAGGGCUCAACCCUUGGAUGCCGGUGGAUACUGCAGGGCUAGAGUCCGGAAGAGGCGAGUGGAAUUCCUGGUGUAGCGGUGAAAUGCGCAGAUAUCAGGAGGAACACCGGUGGCGAAGGCGGGUCUCUGGGCCGUAACUGACGCUGAGGAGCGAAAGCGU